GGAUCCCUUGCGCCGCGUUCAGGACCCCUCCCCCAUUCUGGCCUCUUCGCCGGGGCGCAGGCGUGGUGCUUGGUCAGGGGGUUACGGGUAGGAGGCGUCGGAGCCUAGCGUGGUAGGGCUCUGCUGCGCGGUCCCUCCCAUUCACCCUCGUCUGGCGUUCUCCGGCGUGGGCGGGCCGGACCUUCGCCGCUUCCAGGAAGGGCCACAACGGCCGUCGGACCAUGGCGCGGCGGACCUGAGCAGAGUAAGGAUGAACUGGUGAUGGAAAUUCUAUCCGACUUGCUAAAGCGGCUGCCACUGACAGUGGAGAAAGAAGAAAGUGCUGUUGGAACUCCAAGCACAUUGAAGAGCAUGAUGUCAAGCUCCAUUUGGGAGUCUCUUUCUAAAAAUCUCAAAGAUCACGACCCCCUUAUCCAUUGUGUCUUGCUAACCUUUUUGAAGCAAGAAAUUAAACGAUUUGAUAAGUUAUUAUUUGUCAUACAUAAAUCCUUAAAAGAUCUUCAACUUGCUAUAAAAGGAGAGAUCAUCCUCACCCAAGAAUUGGAGGAAAUAUUUAGCUCUUUUCUUAAUAUGAGAGUGCCUACAUUGUGGCAGAAACACGCCUACAGAUCGCGUAAGCCACUGAGUUCCUGGAUUGAUGAUCUCAUCCAGCGACUGAAUCUCUUCAAAACUUGGGCCAAAGUGGCUUACACUGUAAUACAGCGUCGGUAUAUGAGAUUUUUCACAGUUUGGAAGCAGUCUAUUCCAUCAUCUAGCCAAAAGUGCAAACACCCUGAGGAUUCAGAGAACAAUUUCUUUGAAGGGUUUCCUUCAAGAUACUGGCUCCCAGCUUUCUUCUUUCCACAAGCCUUUCUUGCUGCUGUGCUUCAAGACUAUGGGAGGUCCCAAGGAAUCUCUGUGGAUGCCCUCACCUUCACCCACCAUGUGAUUUCCGACACCACUGACAAGGAUGAGAAGUUCUCCGUAUUUAUGCCAAAGAAACUCAACAUAGGAGAGCGUUUAAGUAGAGACGGGGUUUCACCGUGUUAGCCAGGAUGGUCUCGAUCUUCUGACCUCGUGAUUUGCCUGCCUCAGCCUCCCAAAGUGCUGGGAUUACAGGCGUGAGCCACCGCCCCGGCCGCAGUGAUGUAUCUUUAUGAUUUUAAUUUGCAUUUCCUUGAUGAUUAAUGAAGUUGGGAACCUUUUAAAAUGAUUAUUGAUAUUUGGAUUUCCUCUUUUGUGAAGUUUCUGUUCAAGACUGUGGACUGUUUUUGUCUUAUUGAUUCAUAGAAGUUCUUGUGUAUUCUGAAUAUAAGCUGUCAGGGAUUGCACAGUUUCUGGUCCACUGGGGAUACUUCUUGUUUUCCAGUGCUUUUAUAGUUGCAUUCUGGGAUUUGGAGUGGGAGGAGGUGGUGGACACUCAUGCUGUUUGGCCUCUGGGUCCUGGUCUUCCUCUCCUCAGCACUCAUCAGACUGCACUAAGAUGAUUCCAAGAUUACCCAGAAUUAGUGAAUGUUUGUUAGGAACAUGUCAGAAGAAGGAUGGAACUGGGAGAGUUUGUCCUACGAGGCAAAAGACUCUGAGGAGAAAAAGAAAUAUUGAAAAGGGUGAUACAUGAAGAACUAGACUCUAAUUCUGCUAGAACUCCAACCAGGGGGACCUCCAAGGGGAAGACACAUGCAGUUGAUCUAAACUGAUGAUGAUGGUGGCGUGUCCUUUUAUAGACAGGGAGUACUCUGUCACUGGAGCUUUAGGAGAAAUCAGGUGACCGCUUGGCAAGAGUAUUGACGUGGAAGAAAGCUCAGGUUCAGAUGUGUUUUCGACUGGAGGUUUAUCCAACUGUUAAUUAAAAAUAUGGGUCCAAGACCGCUCUGGCUGUUGGAAAUAUCGAGAUGAACAAAGUAAGGCUCCUGCCCUCUAGAAGAUCCCAAUCUACCUGAUAAUGAUGGCACUGAUGCUUACUAGCCAACACUGAGGCUCAGCUUCCUCUCACACUGGAGUUUACAUUUUUGGUUUAUUCAUCGAGGGGGCAAGAUGAAUCACGAACAAAACAUACUGGAAGACUCGCUGCCUCUGGAGAUGUGCUGUGAUUUUCCCGACAUAUACUUUUUGCCAACAAAGAAAAUAUGAACUUCUAAGCCAAUUAAAAAGUGAUGACCACAACAUGGCAGAAAGCUAUUAAUAGAAGAAACCAGAAGAAAUAAUCACUGAUCAAUGGAAACCUACUAGAAAGGAAGGUUUAAAGAAGCCUCUGAGGCUCAAAGAGAAAAGGUCUUCUCUCAAAAUGUCAGCAGAUUGUCCCAACAGACUGUCAUUAAAACUUGUUUUGGAACAUUGUGAUGUACAGCUGCCAGAUUUGUUUUUAAUAUGGAAAGAAAACUAGACUUGGAAUUUGGAGAUAAUUACAAAGAUAACAGUAAAUAUGAUCAAAAUACUUGUAAAAUAAGCCUGAAGAAGACAAAAUUUUUAAAAGGAAUAUGCUGGCUGAGACAGAGAAAACAAACAAAACAUUUACCAGUCUUCAACUAGUAGAAAGACUAAUCAAUGUAUGAAAAAACACACGAGAUGGAAACUUAGCCUUAUUUCAACUGGUUUCCUCAAUGCAUCUUGAUUUCUCAUUUUACAUUCAUCUAAUUAGAGCUAGUCUUUGUAUUUUAAAACAUUAACAAUAAGACAUCUCCCCCAUUAUUUAAAAACUAGGUGACUCUUGACAAUCCAAGAAACACCAUUCUAAUUUAGUAAUAAUCCAUCCAUUUUCAUGUGAUACCACAAUUACCACCACCCACAAAAACAAAAUCAAGAUCCACCAAUCUUAAAUAUUUAGAAUAUUACUUUUAAACACAAGAACAGCUGAUAAACACCGAAGCACUCCCAAACGCCUAGAAACUUCCCACCUGUCAGCGCUCCCUCGUCAGCUUCGCAUGGAUGGCGUCAUCCUCCUCACAAGCAGCCUUGGAGGCAGGCCGUGCUCCCCUCACUUUGUGUGCAAGAAGCCGAGGCUCUGACAGGUCACUCACCCACUCAAAGCCAUCUGACUCCAAGGCCUCGGCUCUUAAAAUUAAUUACCUCAUUCCAGAGAGCAUCCACCACAUAGAGAAGCUGGAAACUAUUAACUAAAAUCAUGGCCAAGGAUGGAACAGCGCGGUCCUGUAUUUUCAUUUCAGCCAAAAGCAUCACCAAGUUAAUAACCACCUGAAAUAAAAGGGGAAAGUAUAUAGCCUCAAAGCACCUCCCCAGAGACCUUAGCACUACACAGGCAUGAGUGAGCUUCACAGCUGAGACACCUGGCAGACGCCACCUUAACUCCUGCCCGCCACCAGGAAUAAGACAUCCCAGCACCACGGGCCCCUGGACCCAAUGCACUGAGAAGGACGCAGCUAUCAUUUGUGUUCCUGUCACAGUGGGUAACUUCACCCCAAUCAAAGAGAACACUAGAAUGACCCAAACUGAGGGACACUCUUAAAAAAUAACCAACCAGUACUUUCCAAAAAGUAUCAAGGUCAUGAGAGACAAGGAAAGCCUAAACAACUAUUAGACUAGAGAAGACUAAGAAGAAAUAACAACUAAAUGCAUUGUGGAGUCCUGUCGAGCUUUCUGGAACAGAAAAAGGACAACAGCGGAAAAACUGGUGAACUUGACUGAGGCCUGUGGACCUGGGAACUAAUGCUGUCGCUAUGUUAAUCUGCUGUUCUUCAUCAUUACACUGUGGUUUCCUCCAAGGUUAACAUUGUGAGAAACAGAAUGAAGGGUGGAAGGGAACUCUUUGCUCUAUAUCUGCAACUCCAAGCCUAAAACUAGGUAAAAUUUAAAAAGGAGGAAAAUGCCUUUUUUCUUACAUUAAUUCAUCCACACUAUCACUUUCCUACAUAAAUAUAAACUGAUAUAAUAAAAAUAAAGCAAAGAAAAGUUACUUAAUUUGUCAUAACCUGUAACAGGGCAUCUUAAACCUCUGGAAAAUACUUACGAGAAAAUAUUUUGAUAGAUUUAUGGAAAGCCACAAUUAUCCCUAAAAAUAUACCAUCCACUGCU